GGCAAGAUGGCCGAGUCGGUUAUGGCGUAGGAUUAGGGUGAUAGUGAGUCCUCACUGCCUUCAUACGGAGAAAUCCGCGUGGUUCGGGUCCCAUUCUUGUUA